rnacentral:rRNA from 1 species
GGCGUAAAGAGCUCGUAGGCGGUUUGUCGCGUCUGCUGUGAAAACUGGAGGCUCAACCUCCAGCCUGCAGUGGGUACGGGCAGACUAGAGUGCGGUAGGGGAGAUUGGAAUUCCUGGUGUAGCGGUGGAAUGCGCAGAUAUCAGGAGGAACACCGAUGGCGAAGGCAGAUCUCUGGGCCGUAACUGACGCUGAGGAGCGAAAGCAUGGGGAGCGAACAGGAUUAGAUACCCUGGUAGUCCAUGCCGUAAACGUUGGGAACUAGAUGUAGGGACCAUUCCACGGUUUCUGUGUCGCAGCUAACGCAUUAAGUUCCCCGCCUGGGGAGUACGGCCGCAAGGCUAAAACUCAAAGGAAUUGACGGGGGCCCGCACAAGCGGCGGAGCAUGCGGAUUAAUUCGAUGCAACGCGAAGAACCUUACCAAGGCUUGACAUAUACCGGAAAAGUUCAGAAAUGUUCUCCCCGCAAGGUCGGUAUACAGGUGGUGCAUGGUUGUCGUCAGCUCGUGUCGUGAGAUGUUGGGUUAAGUCCCGCAACGAGCGCAACCCUCGUUCUAUGUUGCCAGCACGUAAUGGUGGGAACUCAUAGGAGACUGCCGUGGUCAACACGGAGGAAGGUGGGGAUGACGUCAAAUCAUCAUGCCCCUUAUGUCUUGGGCUUCACGCAUGCUACAAUGGCCGAUACAAAGGGCUGCAAUACCGUAAGGUGGAGCGAAUCCCAAAAAGUCGGUCUCAGUUCGGAUUGAGGUCUGCAACUCGACCUCAUGAAGUCGGAGUCGCUAGUAAU